CGGGAGACCUUGCAAGCGGAUGACCACAGCCAUGCUGCGCUGAAACAACACACACCUGCAAAGACAGAUGUUUUUUUCUUAACAAGUAGCAGAAGCCAAGCCAAUCCUGUGGGCAACCAAUUAAAACCAACUUUUAGACGAGGGAUCUGUACGGGAAAAAGGGUUAAGAACGGCGCUACACCGCCCCCGGGCCCCGCUCCGCGCCGAGCCCAGCGCCACCGACCGCGCAGCGCCACAAAAUGGCCGCCUCGCUGCGGCGCCGCCACCCGCCGCCAGGGAGGGGCGGGGCUGAG
rnacentral:lncRNA from 1 species